ACAUCUGUACCACAUUCAUGUGGCAAAUGCUGCUUUAUGGAGAUGUUUCUAAUACUGACCUACAAUAAUUCAGCCAAGAUCACGUUUCUACUGUCUUCAGGAAAUGAGAAAAAUGAAUCCAGGAAAUUUCCAUCUUUAACUAUACUCUGUAAAUGUGCUGUCCAAUACACAGAUAGCUACUGAGCACUGGAAUAUAGCUAGUCUGAAUGGAGAUGUUCUAAGGACGUGUUUGCUUCCCCUUCUGCCGUGACUGUAAGUUUCCUGAGGCCUCCCCAGCCCUGCAGAACUUGAACACCGUGUACAUCAAGGAAGAUAAUUACAACUUUUUCAAGUCUUCUAAAAUCGAAUCAAGAGCUGCCAACAGCUAGGCCCAGUGAAAUGUGGAAAUCACUCAUGUCUUCCUACCUUGUAAUAAGCCUAACCUCUUAGGUUAUUUCCUGGCCUCCCUUCUGUGACCUUUGACCAAGGCCAACCUUUAGCUGGAGAAUGUGACAUUUUGUUCUCCUCUGGCUGACAUGUGAUGCUCUCAUUAUUCAAAGGAAAAGUGUUGUCAUUUGAACGUCAAGGGUUUCUCAGACCACCAGAAAAGAUUAUCUCCUUUUGAUAUCUCUGCUUAGAGGAAUACAGAAUGUGGCCACAUGUUACUCUUCUACCAAUGUCAGGAUAAAGCAUGCAUUAGGAUCCCUCAGUGGAGAACUAUGUCCAUUCCAUGCUCCUUCCAACUAGUUUGAGAAAUGGCUCCAAAUUUUCCUUAAUAUUAUUCUGAAUUGCUCUAUGAAGUAAAUGUCAGGCAUUUUAUUUCCAUUUCCCUAAAAUAGAGAAUGGGUUGCUAGGGAAAAUGCCUAAGCCAGCCAUAAAGCAUUUCCAAAGGGAGGACAUAGUGAAUAAAAAAUGUUAAUUCCUGUCUUGUUUAACAAGCUCUCAUGGCAGCUCCAAGGGGUAGUAAAAUUUAUACUCCUACCAGGACAGCUCUAGACUAUGGCAUCAGCAUGGGAUGGAAAGUAGCCCUGGGAAACAGAAUAGUGUGGUUGCCUGCUACCCUUUACUUAUCUGAAUAGUUUGUCUCUGCUGUGCCCAGGAGGUUUGCACCUCAUGGGGUGGGAGGUGGUGCAAUCAGGUAAGAAUGCUCUUUACUUACUCCUUUGUCGGAAAAAGGAUGACUGUAAUGUGUGGGCUGGAGUGGAGUGGAACUGAGUUUAAAAUCUGCAGUAACAUAAAAUUAAAGACUAGGUAUUAACAAUGGCUUUGCACUCUGAGUUGCCAUGGGCUGAGAGGGACAGCUGGACAGCCAGAGGGAUUCCAGAGGGACUUGGCAGGACAGAGCAGUGUAAGCCAUCUUACUGCCUCGAAAAACACAGGUAGGAGCACAUCAGACUUCAGUAACACAGGAUUUAUCUCAGUAUCCAUUUUUUCUGAUUCUCAGUUUUCUUAUCCAUAAAAUAGAUUAAAUAAUAUAUGCUUUGUGAGGUUCUUGUGAAGAUUAAAUGAGAUGAAAAAUGCAAAGUGCUGGAGGAACACCUGCAGGAGCUCUAUCCAUGAAAAACUGUUGGCCGGGCACGGUGGCUCACGCCUGUAAUCCCAGCACUCUGGGAGGCCGAGGCGGGUGGAUCACCUGAGGUAGGGAGUUAGAGACCAGCC
ensembl:lncRNA novel transcript